rnacentral:rRNA from 2 species
UCCUACGGGUGGCAGCAGUGGGGAAUAUUGGACAAUGGGCGCAAGCCUGAUCCAGCCAUGCCGCGUGAGUGAUGAAGGCCUUAGGGUUGUAAAGCUCUUUCACCGGAGAAGAUAAUGACGGUAUCCGGAGAAGAAGCCCCGGCUAACUUCGUGCCAGCAGCCGCGGUAAUACGAAGGGGGCUAGCGUUGUUCGGAAUUACUGGGCGUAAAGCGCACGUAGGCGGGCAUUUAAGUCAGGGGUGAAAUCCCAGAGCUCAACUCUGGAACUGCCUUUGAUACUGGGUGUCUGGAGUAUGGAAGAGGUGAGUGGAAUUCCGAGUGUAGAGGUGAAAUUCGUAGAUAUUCGGAGGAACACCAGUGGCGAAGGCGGCUCACUGGUCCAUUACUGACGCUGAGGUGCGAAAGCGUGGGGAGCAAACAGGAUUAGAUACCCCGGUAGUC